AUGACAUUGCACAACUAUGUUCGCCUCCAUGACAAAGAUGAUAUCCACUUUAUUCGAUGUGAAAGGGAUCCGGGUUAUGUUCCAACAAUUCUGGAUAGAUAUAAGAAGUAUGUUAUUCCUUCGAGUGCAUCAGAUGCUUCAACUUUGGAGGCAAGUACUCCUGACAUGGAUAGGUUUAGGAAUGAACUAGCUACCGCCAUUGCUCUUGGUUGGUGA
rnacentral:rRNA from 1 species